UCCUUAAUUCGAUCAAUAAAAUUGACAAAAAAAUUAUGACAAAUUUGCUUUAAAAAAUUGUAAGUAGUUCAACUUUAUAGACAAGAAUUUCCUCUGCAUUUCACAACAUGUGCUAAUAUGUUCGACCAUACUAUUUUUGUAACGAAUUGGUGAUUUUUUUUUUUUUAAAUUGUGUGCAUGUAUUCUUAAGUAAUUAUAAUGAAUAGUGAGUCAGUUGCAAAUUUGAUCGCUAAAAUACCGUGAAAUUUUAGUGCUUUGCGUAAACUCUGCAACACAGUAAAAUUUCAAACAAUGGAGAACCCUGAACAAGUAACAAGCUACUAAAACUACUAACGUCUGCUAAAUGUUGUGUGACGCGUCUAGUGUGUUGGUGUUAGUGUCUGUGUGCUUGUCACCUCUCGCUUUCAGCCAUCACCGCUGGCUAGCAGCAAUGCGAAAAGGGGGAAGAAAUUCGUAUGACUUCCCCUGCCAGUACAUAGCCUCUCCACAACAAGUCCUAUGCGAUGCCUCCACGUGGAAGCAGACGGAUACUGGGUAUCAUUUUGUCCCAGGCUAAGUUCGCAAGGGCGCACGGGAAGAUGAGUCUCAAAAGCAUUGGAAUACUUUUAAGGCUGAACAGGAUCCUGAAGUGAGGAGGACUCCCUCUCUCAUUGAACUGCAUACAGCAGCAGAAAGCAGGAUUUCAGUUCCCCUUUGAUUCAGAAGAGGAACAACAAUGGAGGACCAAGGUCAUUAAUAUAAGAAGAGUCUAUUCCUGUCUGUGUUUUGCAGCAGAAGAAAGUUAAGACUGACCAGGAAUUCUAAGUGAGGAAGAGUCCCUUUCCCAUUCCGCUGCAGCCAUGAGGAGAA